GAGAUUUCAAAUGCGUUAGUCAGAGGUGACUAAAGUUACAGAAACCUGAUUCACUGACACUCUUCAGCGGUAGACGGCUGAGCCUGGAAAAGACGCUACAGCUUUAGGGUCGGAUGCUGACCACUCAGGGACUGUUUCCACCAGCCCCUGCCCCACCUGCACUCUGGCAACGAUGCACAUGUACCUCAAAGGUCAGUGUGAAGGCGGAAAAGGUCUUGGAGGCACAGUCAGCAAGCAUUCGGGAGCACCUCUGUGCCAGGCUUAGAGGACUGCUUUAAGAACGAGCUUGUAGAACAAUUCACUGGAGCCGAUGUGAGGGAAAAUCCACCAAAUGGCUUCUCUGCUCUCAAGGAAAGAUUCCAAGAAGAAAGUCCUCCUCCCCACUGGAUAAUGUCAUCCCGGAUGUGCCACCUGGAACUACUGUGGCCACCUUGCAACAGUGAGGUGAGGUCGUGGAAGGACAAGCUGACGUGCAGAAGCUACCUGAGAGCCUGGGGCCUUGCUGACAUCUGGACUUCUUGUUCCAUGAGAUAUGUUACCUCAUAGAUUCUGCUAGUCAAACAGGAAGGGGACCACCCCUUGCCACUUACCUGCAGCCUAAAACAUGCUCAGGUAAGUAUUUUACUUAAUCUUUAUCACAAAUGAACCCAUGACUAGGUUUUAAGGUAAGAGAGGCUUAAUUUUACAAGAAAAUGU